rnacentral:rRNA from 1 species
UACAGAGGUCCCAAGCGUUGUUCGGAUUCACUGGGCGUAAAGGGUGCGUAGGUGGCCGGGUAAGUCUAAUGUGAAAUCUCCGAGCCUAACUCGGAAACUGCAUCAGAUACUAUCCGGCUAGAGGAAUGGAGGGGAGACUGGAAUACUUGGUGUAGCAGUGAAAUGCGUAGAUAUCAAGUGGAACACCAGUGGCGAAGGCGAGUCUCUGGACAUUUCCUGACGCUGAGGCACGAAAGCUAGGGGAGCAAACAGG